rnacentral:rRNA from 1 species
AGAGUUUGAUCCUGGCUCAGGAUGAACGCUAGCGGCAGGCUUAACACAUGCAAGUCGAGGGGUAACGACACUUUCGGGUGGGCGACGACCGGCGCACGGGUGAGUAACGCGUAUGCAACCUACCUGUAACAGAAGAAUAGCCCGAAGAAAUUUGGAUUAAUACUUCAUAGUAUUAUAGAAUCGCAUGGUUUUAUAAUUAAAGUUUCGGCGGUUACAGAUGGGCAUGCGUGCCAUUAGCUAGUUGGUAAGGUAACGGCUUACCAAGGCUAUGAUGGCUAGGGGGUCUUAAAGGAUGAUCCCCCACACUGGUACUGAGACACGGACCAGACUCCUACGGGAGGCAGCAGUGAGGAAUAUUGGUCAAUGGGCGCAAGUCUGAACCAGCCAUGCCGCGUGCAGGAUGAAGGUCCUAUGGAUUGUAAACUGCUUUUGUACGGGAAGAAUGGUAUCUACGUGUAGAUAUUUGACGGUACUGUACGAAUAAGCAUCGGCUAACUCCGUGCCAGCAGCCGCGGUAAUACGGAGGAUGCAAGUGUUAUCCGGAUUCAUUAGGUUUAAAGGGUACGCAGGCGGAAUAGUAAGUCAGUGGUGAAAUCCUACAGCUCAACUGUAGAACUGCCAUUGAUACUGUUAUUCUUGAGUGCAGUUGAGGCAGGCGGAAUGCGUAGUGUAGCGGUGAAAUGCAUAGAUAUUGCGCAGAACUCCGAUUGCGAAGGCAGCUUGCAAAACUGUAACUGACGCUCAUGUACGAAAGCGUGGGGAGCGAACGGGAUUAGAUACCCCGGUAGUCCACGCCGUAAACGUUGAUCACUCGUUGUGUGCGAUACACUGUACGCGACUGAGCAAAAGCAUUAAGUGAUCCACCUGGGGAGUACGUUCGCAAGAAUGAAACUCAAAGGAAUUGACGGGGGCCCGCACAAGCGGAGGAACAUGUGGUUUAAUUCGAUGAUACGCGAGGAACCUUACCCGGGUUUAAAUUCAGGACGACGUAACAAGAGAUUGUUAUUCCUUCGGGCGUCCUGGAAGGUGCUGCAUGGCUGUCGUCAGCUCGUGCCGUGAGGUGUCGGGUUAAGUCCCAUAACGAGCGAAACCCCUAUUGUUAGUUGCCAGCGAGUCAUGUCGGGGACUCUAACAAGACUGCCACCGUAAGGUGUGAGGAAGGGGGGGAUGACGUCAAGUCAGCACGGCCCUUAUGUCCGGGGCUACACACGUGUUGCAAUGGUUGGUACAAAGGGCAGCUACACAGCGAUGUGAUGCUAAUCUCAAAAACCAAUCUCAGUUCGGAUUGGAGUCUGCAACUCGACUCCAUGAAGUUGGAUUCGCUAGUAAUCGUAUAUCAGCAAUGAUACGGUGAAUACGUUCCCGGGCCUUGUACACACCGCCCGUCAAGCCAUGGAAACCGGGGGUACCUGAAGUCCGUAACCGCAAGGAGCGGCCUAAGGUAAAAUCGGUAACUGGGGCUAAGUCGGAACAAGGUA